UACGGAGGCCCCGAGCGUUGUUCGGAAUUACUGGGCUUAAAGCGCGUGUAGGCGGGCCGGAAAGUGCCUUGUGAAAUCCCCGGGCUCAACCCGGGAAUGGCUCGGCAUACUAUCGGUCUUGAGGCAGGUAUGGGUCGCUGGAACCUUAGGUGUAGCGGUGAAAUGCGUAGAUAUCUAAGGGAACGCCGGUGGCGAAAGCGGGCGACUGGGCCUGUCCUGACGCUGAGACGCGAAAGCGUAGGGAGCAAACGGUAUUAGAUACCCCGGUAGUCUACGCCGUAAACGAUGCGCACUAGGUUCGAGGUCCACUGACGGUUCUCGGGCCGAAACAAAAGCGUUAAGUGCGCCGCCUGGGGAGUACGGCCGCAAGGCUAAA
rnacentral:rRNA from 1 species